rnacentral:rRNA from 1 species
AGCAGCCGCGGUAAUUCCAGCUCCAAUAGCGUAUAUUAAAGUUGUUGCAGUUAAAAAGCUCGUAGUUGAAUUUCGAGAUCAAAUUGUUGGUCGUGCCUUGGUACGUACUGACAUUAUUGGUUUCUCCCUUCUGAAGAACCAUGAUGUCAUUAAUUUGGUGUCUUGGGGAAUCAGGACUGUUACUUUGAAAAAUUAGAGUGUUUAAAGCAGGCUCGCGCUUGAAUACAUUAGCAUGGAAUAAUGAAAUAGGACGUUUAAUUCUAUUUUGUUGGUUUCUAGGAUUGACGUAAUGAUUAAUAGGGAUAGUUGGGGGCAUUAGUAUUCAAUUGUCAGAGGUGAAAUUCUUGGAUUUAUUGAAGACUAACUACUGCGAAAGCAUUUGCCAAGGAUGUUUUCAUUAA